rnacentral:rRNA from 1 species
AUUGAACGCUGGCGGAAUGCUUUACACAUGCAAGUCGAACGGUAGAGGGGGCAACCCCUUGAGAGUGGCGAACGGGUGAGUAAUAUAUCGGAACGUGCCCAGUCGUGGGGAGUAACGUAGCGAAAGUUACGCUAAUACCGCAUACGAUCUAAGGAUGAAAGCGGGGGAGUCGCAAGACCUCGCGCGAUUGGAGCGGCCGAUAUCAGAUUAGGUAGUUGGUGAGGUAAAGGCUCACCAAGCCGACGAUCUGUAGCUGGUCUGAGAGGACGACCAGCCACACUGGGACUGAGACACGGCCCAGACUCCUACGGGAGGCAGCAGUGGGGAAUUUUGGUACAAUGGGCGCAAGCCUGAUCCAGCAAUGCCGCGUGCAGGAUGAAGGCCUUCGGUUGUAACU